rnacentral:rRNA from 1 species
CAGCAGCCGCGGUAAUACGUAGGGUGCAAGCGUUAAUCGGAAUUACUGGGCGUAAAGCGUGCGCAGGCGGUUUGUUAAGACAGAUGUGAAAUCCCCGGGCUCAACCUGGGAACUGCAUUUGUGACUGGUAAGCUAGAGUGUGGCAGAGGGGGGUGGAAUUCCGCGUGUAGCAGUGAAAUGCGUAGAUAUGCGGAGGAACACCGAUGGCGAAGGCAGCCCCCUGGGCCAACACUGACGCUCACGCACGAAAGCGUGGGGAGCAAACAGGAUUAGAUACCCCUGUAGUCCCUGUCUCUUAUAC